AACAUAAAUAAGAAAAUAAAUACGGAAUCAUUGAGGAAAACAGAAAUUGCCGGCAGUUAGCACGAUCUCCUCGAAGAAGAACGACUGCCGGGGCGCACGAUUGGAGACGGAAGGCGGACGUGGGAGAUGAUUGGAGUGGAUAUGGCUUCCUUAUUAUUCACCCCACUCUCAAUUUACGGUUCAUAUAAAAGGAGAAGGGAAAGAGGAGCAGAGCAAAAUCAAACCCAGAAAGAGGAAAAAAUUAGAAUCAAAUCGGAGACUUUCAGAUUUCGUGUUCCAUUGAUUUGGGUAUCCUAUUUCCAUUGAUGUGGGCAGAGCUGAUUCUCAAUCAAACCCAAAAGGCAGAGUAAUAGGUAUCAACUCGAGCGACAGUGUUGCGGAUUCAGUAAAGGUCAGCCUUGAUCAUUGCUUCCAGAUUUUGAAUUUCAGUUAUUUGAGUUUUCGUUUUCGAUUGAAGUUCCAUGUGUUAAUUAUUACAUUGGGUAAUUUCAAAGAGUGGGUGAUUGCCAAAUGCUGCUUCGCUUUCUUUCAAUUUUUGCAGGUAAAUGUAUGGGAGAUUUCGGAACAUUGUGAAAGUUGGUGUCGCCUAAUAUUAGUUGCAGGUACCUGUAAAGUAUUUGAUUGGGGACUUGAAAGGAAAAGCGCAAGACCAGUCUUCUUGGUUCGUCUUUCUUGGAGCAUGUUAAGGAGAUAUUGGAACCUGAUACUCUUAUUGCUGCAGCGCCUUGGGUGUACUACCCAAUAAUUGAAAAGUAUUCAAUAUAUUUGACAUAAUCUUCUAUUGUAACAGGCUCUUCAGCGCUUCCAAACCGAGCAUGGAAAAGGGUUUCCAACUCAUUUCUCCCAGAUAGGGGCUCCUGACUUCUAUACCAUUCAAAGGCUGACAAGGUUGGAAAAAGCUUCAUUUUUUUUAUCACUGCUCUGAACAAGACAGGUCUGAUGGUUUUGAAUUCAUUGUAUUAAAUCCACUUCCUACUCGCAUUAUGCUCUUUAUGAUCUUCGCUCAUGAUUCAAUUGCCAUGUAUUUGGCUAUUGAACCUCAAAGUUUAUGUUUUCAUGUGAUCAAUCAAUGCAGCAAGCUUCAAGGACGCUAUAAACACAGACAUGCCAAAUUACUGCAACCAUCAAGUAAAGAUGCGGCCUCAAGUAAGGCCUUGAUUAGAAUUUGAUCUAAUUCAAACUCGCCGUAUUUGAUUCCUUAUUGAUUGUUAUGGGACAAGUUUCUUCAUCACGCCCUCAGCCAUCGAAUGAUGGCCAGGAACCAUCCCGUGUUCAUGCACCCAAUGCAGAAAGGCAAAGUACAAAUACCUCUCAAGGAGAGAGGAGACAAUCAGUGAGUUCUUCAGAAGCUAAUUUAUCGCAGUCUCACCCACUGGAUGAAGAUCAGGUUAAUUUGCAUGAUACAUUGUUUCGUUUGUUACAUGUAAACAAUUGAUUGAAAGCUUCAUAGCAGGGAUUUGGGAUUUUAGGAGCUGAUGAAAUGCUUAGUUUGUACCUGUAUUAAUGCAAGAUGAAUAUUGGUUGCUGGUGUUAUUUCAAAAAAGAAUUACAUGUGAAUUUCAAAGGCUUAUGAGGUUAUUGAAA